UGGGGAAUAUUGGACAAUGGGCGAAAGCCUGAUCCAGCAAUGCCGCGUGAGUGAUGAAGGCCUUCGGGUUGUAAAGCUCUGUCGGGAGGGACGAAUAGGGUGGUGUAAUGGCCACUUCUGACGGUACCUCCAAAGGAAGCACCGGCUAACUCUGUGCCAGCAGCCGCGGUAAUACAGAGGGUGCAAGCGUUGUUCGGAAUUACUGGGCGUAAAGCGCGUGUAGGCGGCGUCGUGAGUCAUAUGUGAAAGCCCUCGGCUCAACCGAGGAAGUGCAUGUGAUACUGCGAUGCUUGAGUGUUGGAGGGGGUGGCGGAAUUCCCGGUGUAGAGGUGAAAUUCGUAGAUAUCGGGAGGAACACCUGUGGCGAAGGCGGCCACCUGGACAACAACUGACGCUGAGACGCGAAAGCGUGGGUAGCAAACAGGAUUAGAUACCCGUGUAGUCCCUGAGCGGGCUGGCAAGGCGCAU
rnacentral:rRNA from 1 species